AACCUGUUAACUUAUACAACUUUGCUUAAGAAACAAGCCUGAUGGGAUGUUGGCAGACUUCCCUGCUGCCAAGCAAGAACUAUUGCGGGCAGCCGCGAGCUUCUCAGGAUUUAAGCCCAUGAUGGAAUGCCUCAUUGCAGUUCACCUUGAAAGUAGAGCAAAUAGAAACUCAGAGUGAAUUCAGACCGCCACAGCACCCAACAACACCGUUGAAACAUGUGAGCCCUCCCACACGAACCACAACAGAUGAAGUUGGCGAAGUCUACACAAUUUAGCCUCCAGAGUUGCUCCAAAAGAAAAGACCAAUGGUUCAAAAAUCCACUUAAACUGCAAACUCACCCAUCACCACACAGAGACUUGGAAUCAAGAUAUUUCACAGAAUGAGAGGUACUCCUGAAGAGACUAAGGAGAGCCAUUCGCGAAUGUGGCUCUAAAGAUACUACAUUAGAAAUCUGGGGGUCUAGGUGUCGGAUCUUCUGUGGCUUCAGGCAAAUCCCUUCACCUCUCUGGGCUUCUGCCACUUCACCUGCAGAACAAGAUCAGGCCAGAGGAUUUCAAAUGCCCGUUCUAGCUCAACUGUCCAUGGAUCUACUACUGAAGUUGCCUCCAAUUUGCAAAUUUUAUUGAGUAAAUUGGGUAACGUCUGGGUAGCUAGGAUUCCAACUGUAUAGAAAUAUACAAGCCAACAGCAAAAAAAGUAAAAGUCAAACGUGGAAAGAGUUACAACAUACAAACACUAAGAUUGUUAAAGAUUUUUCUUCUUUUUUCCUUCUUCUAAAUUCACUUAAUGUGAUUGCUACACCACUUUUAUAAUUUUAUAAAUCAAUAAAAAUUUUAAAAGAUAUCAGUUUCUGUGGAGGGCAGUGUUUAUAAUUACCUUCAGGAAGUGUCAACACAUGAAUAUAAACCCCUUCUUUGGAUUUAUAGGCAUAUAACAUUUACAACAGACAAAUCCAUAUGAUUAUCAAUUCUAAUUUUUCAAAGCCAAAAUUCUCUUAAGCA